ACCCAACAAGUGAGUAACGCAAAGAGUCCAUGACCCGGUUAUUUCCCCAAAUCAACUCUCUUAAAACCCUAGGAAACCGUUGCCCGUGUCGGGUAGCAAUCCUAAAGAUGUCUUAACACCCGCCAUUUGUAUCCAUCCGGGUCGGGUUACACUCCUCGGAUCCAUAACUGAAUCUAGGGUGUGGAGCUGAAAAAGGAAAUGGAGACGAUACGUUUUGUAAUUUCAAACAAGAGUAAAGAGAUAUAGUGAUAUUGGUUCACAGUUUCUAAUGACAUCAUUAAGCAAUAAAUAGACUUGUCUUGCAUUAAAGCAAAUGUUGUGGUCUUAGCAAUUGAUUAGGAAAAUCAAUUCUAAUGGUUCAAAUUCUAUAGGUGGUUGUCACAUUUUCAAGUGUUGAAUUGAACAGUUAGAAUUAGUUUUCAAAUCACUUGCAAAGGCCACAAGAUUGACUUUGAUACAAGAUGAGUCGUUGUGUUGGUUAAGGGCGACAAUGCUUCUUGCAUCGGAUGGCAUGUAAUUCCAGAGAAGAUGAGGUGGCUCUAAGUAGCAUUUUCCGUUUAUUCUCUAUGAGCCGUCAAACAAUCGGGGUGUUAUCUGUCUGGAGUAGUGGUAGUGGUUUGCAAGGUUUGAAUGUUAUUGCUAAUGUAAAGGAUUAUAUUGGGCUGUCAGUUUGGUACAUAAAUGCCUCUUCAAUUGCUAUGUGUGUGUGUGCGUAAUGUGUGUGUGUGAGUGUGCGCUUCGUAGAGAAUCAUAUCAUUUUGUAAAUCUCUUCUUUUUUGGUAUAUCUCUUGUAUACAACCGCUGUGGCCAUGUUUAUGAAUGAAAAUAUACUUGAUUGAAAAAAACAAUCCUUUAUCAUGAUCCCUGCAUAAUCUAGUCCGCAAACCAAAUGGCCCUCAAGGUAUGAAUUCUGUAUGCCUAUUUCCUAUACGAAGACCUUGAGGACAUGCAACAAGUGAGCAGUAAGGCUGGCAUGUCUCUUGGUCAGAUGUCUCUCCAACUCCUUUAAACCAAGUAUUAUUAUAUUCAUGUUGGGAAUCACUCUUUUCAUAAGAAUUGAUAUGUGUGCCAAAUGUACUUGUCAAAUUAUUUGAUCAGUGCAGCGGUAGAUCACAUGUCAUAAAAAAGAUAUGCCAUUAAUUGAAAAUACCUUACAUGUUCCUAAAGAUAAUUUCUUGAAAAAGAUUGUGGUCGGAUUUUGUUAAUUGUCUUUAUCUAUCGCUAUCACAAAUCAAGUGCAAUGACUGACCACUCUUUUAGGAAAUAUCAGCAUAUCUCAGUGUCAACCAGGUUGUACUUUUUGCUUGUUCUGUCCUGUCUGAUCCCAUUGAUUGUGAUUUGUGACCCUUCAGCAGUCGUAUUAUUUGCAUUAGGGUGUAAAAAGGUACUCGAUUGAUCUAUUUUUCUGUGAAUUUGUACUCCUGAUGUUAGGCCAGUUUUACAAUAAUGGUAGCUGGUAGGUUCCAUUCAUACCAUUGUAAUCUCAAUGACCAUCGACUUAGCUUGUGCAGUCACAUUCGUUAGGCGCUUGUAUGAGAGAUAUAUUAACUCAACCACAAAAAUCUGUCAAUCUUAAACAAGAAUCGAGAUAAUCGCUUUUCUAGAGAUGACACACUUUAUAUCGUGAUUUUGGUGUCAAAAGUAGUAAAGGAAAGAUGUAGCUUUAGACGUAGAAAUGGUAGUUUAUUAAUUCAGCAAAAUGUACAUGCAGUUAUAAAGAGGAAGGUAUGACAGAAUUUGCAUCCAACUUUGUCCCACAUCGUCUCAAAAGGAAGAAUUAGUUCUUUCGUUAAUCUAUUUAGCGGUCGCUAAUUAUGAACUUCAACACAUAGCUACUGGGCCCGCCUAAGUGCGGGCCCUUGAUGGCUUGAAUCUUGUCCGUGGGUUUGCUGGCACCUUUGGAUCCAGGAAGUAGUCCACAUUCUCAACUGUGCAUUUGCACAUGAAGCACCAGGUGACAGCUGACAUAUGUGAUCCUUCGCGUUCUCAUGUUCUCGGCUGUCAGCAUUGGACCCGAGCUGCGAAACCAAGCAAAUAAACACACCUUUCUUGGUGCUCAAGGCCUAGACGUGUAACUUUCUUCAUUGUGCCUGGCAUCAUCCACUGUAUUGUGAACCAAUUCAGCAAUCUCACCACAGCCGUGUUGCCACUUUGCAAUGUAACAGGAAGUAGUCCACAUUCUCAACUGUGCAUAGUACAUGAAACACCAGGUGACAGCUGACAUAUGUGAUCCUUUGCAUUCUCAUGUUCUCCGCUGUCAGCAUUGAACCCGCCUGCAAAACCAAGCAAAUAAAACACACCUUUCUUGGUGCUCAAGGUAUCUAAACCAAUAAAUGUGGGGCCACAUUCAAAUUCAAAUAGAAUUGUCUUCUGUAUCAUGCAUUCAAAGGCCGGAACUUGGAAAGCUAAGUGAAAACUGUAUGAGCAAGUUCUUUUUAAUUUAUAGCCAUACAAGUGUUUGGGAUCUCAUAACAUUUUUGGGAGGAGUAUAUGACAUUCAUAACAUUUUUUUAUUAUUUCUUUUUAAUUUAUACCCGUACAUCUCUUCUCCUUAUCCCCUAGGCCUAGCUGUGUAACCUUCUUUAUUGUUCUUGGCAUCGUCCACUGUUUUGCGAACCAAUUCAACCGUCUCACCAAAGUUGUGUUGCUACUUUGCCAUGUAACAGGAAGUAACCCACAUUCUCAACUGUGCAUUUGCACAUGAAGCACCCGGUGACAACUGAUAUAUGUGAUCCUUCGAGUUCUCAUGUUCUCGGCUGUCAACACUGGACCCGAGCUGCGAAAUAAGCAAAUAAACACACCUUCUUGGUGCUCAAGGUAUCUAAUCCAAUAAAUGUGGAUCACUCAUUUAAAUUAAAAUAGAAUUUUCUUUAUCAUGCAUUCAAAGGUUGAAACUUGGAAGCAAAGUUUGGCUGUUGAAACUUGGAAGCAAAGUUUGGCUAAGUCAAACUUGUAUGAGAAAAUUCUUUUUCAUUUGUACUUGUACUUUUUCUGAGGGGAAGGUCUACCGGAAACAGCCUCUCUACCCCCACAAAGGUAGAGGUAAGGUCUGCGUGCAUCCUCCCUUCCUAGACCCCACUUGUGGGAUCACACUGGGUUUGUUGGUGUGUGUGGUGGUGUAGCCAUACAAUUGUUUGAGAUUUCAUAACAUUUCUGGUACGAGUAUAUGGUGGAUAUGCCCUUUCUCUCACUCAUUUAACUGACUGAUUUAUGUACAUGUAUGCAGGAGGAUAGGUAU